rnacentral:rRNA from 1 species
CCUACGGGUGGCAGCAGUGAGGAAUAUUGGUCAAUGGACGAGAGUCUGAACCAGCCAAGUCGCGUGAAGGAUGACUGCCCUAUGGGUUGUAAACUUCUUUUAUAUGGGAAUAAAAUGUUCCACGUGUGGGAUUUUGUAUGUACCAUAUGAAUAAGGAUCGGCUAACUCCGUGCCAGCAGCCGCGGUAAUACGGAGGAUCCGAGCGUUAUCCGGAUUUAUUGGGUUUAAAGGGAGCGUAGGUGGAUUGUUAAGUCAGUUGUGAAAGUUUGCGGCUCAACCGUAAAAGUGCAGUUGAAACUGGCAGUCUUGAGUACAGUAGAGGUGGGCGGAAUGCGUGGUGUAGCGGUGAAAUGCUUAGAUAUCGCGAAGAACUCCGAUUGCGAAGGCAGUUCACUGGACUGAAACUGACACUGAGGCUCGAAAGUGUGGGUAUCAAACAGGAUUAGAUACCCUAGUAGUC